rnacentral:rRNA from 1 species
AUUGAACGCUGGCGGCAGGCCUAACACAUGCAAGUCGAACGGUAACAGGAAACAGCUUGCUGUUUCGCUGACGAGUGGCGGACGGGUGAGUAAUGUCUGGGAAACUGCCUGAUGGAGGGGGAUAACUACUGGAAACGGUAGCUAAUACCGCAUAACGUCGCAAGACCAAAGAGGGGGACCCUCGGGCCUCUUGCCAUCGGCUGUGCCCAGAUGGGAUUAGCUUGUUGGUGGGGUAACGGCUCACCAAGGCGACGAUCCCUAGCUGGUCUGAGAGGAUGACCAGCCACACUGGAACUGAGACACGGUCCAGACUCCUACGGGAGGCAGCAGUGGGGAAUAUUGCACAAUGGGCGCAAGCCUGAUGCAGCCAUGCCGCGUGUAUGAAGAAGGCCUUCGGGUUGUAAAGUACUUUCAGCGGGGAGGAAGGGAGUAAAGUUAAUACCUUUGCUAAUUGACGUUACCCGCAGAAGAAGCACCGGCUAACUCCGUG